CCCUUAGACGUUCUGGGCCGCACGCGCGCUACACUGACCAGUGCAACAAGCAUCCGUCCUUGGCCGACAGGCUCGGGCAAUCUUUGAACGCUGUUCGUGAUUGGGAUAGACCUUUGCAAUUAUGGGUCUUCAACGAGGAAUUCCUAGUAAACGCAAGUCAUCAGCUUGCAUUGAUUACGUCCCUGCCCUUUGUACACACCGCCCGUCGCACCUACCGAUUGAAUGGUCCGGUGAAAUCUCGGGACGGCGGCUUGGUCGCUUGCGUCCGACUGCUGAAACUUGAUUAAACCAUAUCAUUUAGAGGAAGGUGAAGUCGUANCA
rnacentral:rRNA from 1 species